GUCAAUCAUCAUGCAUUCAUGUUUCAGCCAACACAAUAAACACCUUAAACUACUAACAUCAAGCAACGUCACAUCACAACAACCACCACCACCAUCAAUCGCCACCAUCAUAACAGUCACUACAAUACCAACCAUCACAAUUAUCACCACCAACAAUAUUAAUCACUAACAUCAAUCAUUGUCACCACAACCACCAUUAUAAG
rnacentral:lncRNA from 1 species